CCUACGGGAGGCUGCAGUGAGGAAUAUUGGUCAAUGGCCGAGAGGCUGAACCAGCCAAGUCGCGUGAGGGAAGACGGCCCUACGGGUUGUAAACCUCUUUUGUCGGGGAGCAAAGCGAGACACGUGUGACUCAUUGAGAGUACCCGAAGAAAAAGCAUCGGCUAACUCCGUGCCAGCAGCCGCGGUAAUACGGAGGAUGCGAGCGUUAUCCGGAUUUAUUGGGUUUAAAGGGUGCGCAGGCGGAGGUGCAAGUCAGCGGUCAAAUUGCGGGGCUCAACCCCGUACUGCCGUUGAAACUGCUGCCCUUGAGUGCGCGAGAAGUAUGCGGAAUGCGUGGUGUAGCGGUGAAAUGCAUAGAGAUCACGCAGAACUCCGAUUGCGAAGGCAGCAUACCGGCGCGCAACUGACGCUCAUGCACGAAAGCGUGGGUAUCGAACAGGAUUAGAUACCCCAGUAGUC
rnacentral:rRNA from 1 species